rnacentral:lncRNA from 1 species
UUAAGGAGGUUCGCUACUGAAAUUCAAAAUAACAAGAAAGUUUUCCUGUUGUGUUUUUUUAUAACUCCUUUCAUAUGGGAGUGGAAAAAUGAAAAAAAAAAUAUAGGUCAAUGCGCUAUAUUUUUCGUAAGGAUGGCAUUUAUGGUCACUCAUAAUGUCAGUAUUGAAAAAUCCGGUAUUUUCAAAGAAUUGGAACAUCUGCAUUGAAGUUUCAAUUAUAACAACAAUUCAUACAAAUGUAAAUAUAUUUUAUUCUAAUAUCAAUAAAAAUAUACCUUUAUUUCAAUUUC